rfam:Daphnia pulex DAPPTscaffold_1281_Cont12425, whole genome shotgun sequence.
AUCUGUGUGGCCGAGUGGUCUAUGGCGCUGUUUUUAGGCACCAUUCUCUUCGGAGGAAAGGGUUCGAAUCCCUUCACUGUCA